rnacentral:rRNA from 1 species
UACGAAGGGUGCAAGCGUUACUCGGAAUUACUGGGCGUAAAGCGUGCGUAGGUGGUGAGUUAAGUCUGUCGUGAAAGCCCCCGGGCUCAACCUGGGAAUUGCAUUCGAGACUGAAUAGCUAGGGUACGGUAGAGGGAAGCGGAAUUCCUGGUGUAGCGGUGAAAUGCGUAGAGAUGUGGAGGAACACCAGUGGCGAAGGCGGGUCUCUGGGCAAUAACUGACGCUGAGGAGCGAAAGCGUGGGGAGCGAACAGG